GGAGCAGUACUCAAGUGGUUAUAAGAGGCGUCCCUGCUAAGGACGUAGUCCAAUUUUUGGUGCAAGGGUUCGAAUCCCUUCUGCUCCGCCA
rnacentral:tRNA from 1 species